rnacentral:lncRNA from 1 species
UUUUUUUUCCUAGAAGUUUUUGGUUUUCUAACAAAAGAAAGGAAGAUAGCUCAGCAGUUACAUACAAGCAUUUAUUACUCUUCCGGAGGACCUGGGUUUGAUUCCCAGAAUCCAUAUGGUGUUUCACAGCCAUUUUUUUUUUCUUUUUUUCAGAGCUGGGGAAUGAACCCAGGGCCUUGCAAGCGCUCACAGCCAUUUUUAAAUUCCAGUUCUAGGAUAUCCUUUCCUGGCCUCUGGCCUCACCAGGCACAAAUACAGUGUACAAACAAACAAGAAGGCAAAACAUCCAUUCAACCCAUACACACGAAAUAUAUAAAAAAAUUU